rnacentral:rRNA from 1 species
GUCCAUGCCGUAAACGAUGAUAACUAGAUGUGUGAGGUAUUGACCCCUUACGUGUCGAAGCUAACGCGAUAAGUUAUCCGCCUGGGAAGUACGGUCGCAAGAUUAAAACUCAAAGGAAUUGACGGGGCCCGCACAAGCGGUGGAGCAUGUGGUUUAAUUCGACGCAACGCGAAGAACCUUACCUAGGCUUGACAUGUAUCGAACGACUGGGAAACCAGUAAGUGCCCGCAAGGGAGCGAUAACACAGGUGCUGCAUGGCUGUCGU